rnacentral:pre_miRNA from 1 species
UGACCUGCUAGAGGCUGUGUGAUAUGUUUGAUAUUCGGUUGUUCUUGUGCUUCAUCAUGUCAACUAAAUAUCAGACAUAUUCCAACAGACUCUGGCCCUCA